CAAUAGCGUAUAUUAAAGUUGUUGACGGUAAAAAAGCUCGUAGUUGGAUUUCUGUUGAGGACGACCGGUCCGUACCAUGUACGCGCAUCUGGUUCGGCCUCGGCAUCCUCUCGAUAGACGUUUCUGCGCUUGAUUGCGUGGAGCGGAUUUCGGGACUUUUACUUUGAGGAAAUUAGAGUGUUCACGGCAGGCAAUCGCCAGAAUACAUUAGCAUGGAAUAAUACUAUAGGAUCUCGGUUCUAUUUUGUUGGUUUCUAGACCCGGGGGUAAUGAUUAAUAGGGACAAUUGGGGGCGAUUAGUACGUUAACUGUCAGAGGUGAAAUUCUCCGAUUUGUUAAAGACUAACUUAUGCGAAAGCAUUUGCCAAGGAUGUUUUCAUUAAUCUAAGAACGAAAGUUAGGGGAUC
rnacentral:rRNA from 1 species